rnacentral:rRNA from 1 species
AGCGAACGCUGGCGGCAGGCCUAACACAUGCAAGUCGAACGAAGUCCUCGGACUUAGUGGCGGACGGGUGAGUAACACGUGGGAACGUGCCUUUAGGUUCGGAAUAACUCAGGGAAACUUGUGCUAAUACCGAAUGUGCCCUUCGGGGGAAAGAUUCACUCGCCUUUAGAGCGGCCCGCGUCUGAUUAGCUAGUUGGUGAGGUAAAGGCUCACCAAGGCUACGAUCAGUAGCUGGUCUGAGAGGAUGACCAGCCACAUUGGGACUGAGACACGGCCCAAACUCCUACGGGAGGCAGCGGUGGGGAAUCUUGCGCAAUGGGCGAAAGCCUGACGCAGCCAUGCCGCGUGGAUGAUGAAGGUCUUAGGAUUGUAAAAUCCUUUCACCGGUGAAGAUAAUGACUGUAGCCGGAGAAGGAGCCCCGGCUAACUUCGUGCCAGCCGCCGCGGUAACAC